rnacentral:rRNA from 1 species
UACGAGGGGGGCAAAUGUUGUUCGGAAUCACUGGGCGUAAAGGGAGCGUAGGCGGGUUUUUAAGUCAGGUGUUUAAUCCCGGGGCCCAACCCCGGACAGGCACUUGAAACUGGGAAUCUUGAAUAGUGGAGAGGUCAGUGGAAUUGGGGGUGUAGCGGUGGAAUGCGUAGAGAUCCCCAAGAACACCCGGUUGCGAAGGCGGCUGACUGGACACAUAUUGACGCUGAGGCUCGAAAGCAUGGGGAGCAAACAGG